CGAGCGAAGCGGGAAGAGCUCAAAUUUAUAAUCUGGCACCUUCGGUGUCCGAGUUGUAAUCUCUAGAAAUGUUUUCCGCGUUGGACCGCACACAAGUCUGUUGGAAUACAGCGGCAUAGUGGUGAGACCCCCGUAUAUGGUGCGGACGCCCAGCGCUUUGUGAUACAUUUUCGAAGAGUCGAGUUGUUUGGGAAUGCAGCUCAAAUUGGGUGGUAAAUUCCAUCUAAAGCUAAAUAUUGGCGAGAGACCGAUAGCGAACAAGUACCGUGAGGGAAAGAUGAAAAGCACUUUGGAAAGAGAGUUAACAGUACGUGAAAUUGUUGGAAGGGAAACGCUUGAAGUCAGACUUGCUUGCCGAGCAAUCGGUUUGCAGGCCAGCAUCAGUUUUCCGGGAUGGAUAAUGGUAGAGAGAAGGUAGCAGUUUCGGCUGUGUUAUAGCUCUCUGCUGGAUACAUCUUGGGGGACUGAGGAACGCAGUGUGCCUUUGGCGGGGGUUUCGACCUCUUCACACUUAGGAUGCUGGUGGAAUGGCUUUAAACGACCCGUCUUG
rnacentral:rRNA from 1 species